UGAUAGUGCUAGGAUUAUAGGUGUGAGCUACUGUGCCUGGCCUGACAGACUUUCAAUUCAGUCCAAAAAACCUUCUCCUCCAUUAGGCUCCAGGAGUGCUGUGGUGGGCGGAAGGGCAGCUGACACUCCGGAUGUCCUCGUUCUGUGUUCCUUGGUGAGCCCAGAGAGAACAUGGUGGUAGGUAUCCAACAGUUCAGUCACAAAGGGAUCUGGUGGUGGGAAUGCAGGUAUCUGUGGCUGUGAUCUGACAUUUUCAACUGAGACA
ensembl:snoRNA